rnacentral:tRNA from 1 species
CCGUAGGGGCGGCGGGCAGGGCCGCCUUCCCUUCUCCCGCAAGGAAAGAGGUGCUGCUACCGCCCCUCGCGGUACCACAUCGAGCCCAUGGCC